UACAGAGGUGGCAAGCGUUGUUCGGAUUUACUGGGCGUAAAGGGUGCGUAGGUGGUUGUCUGUGUCGGGCGUGAAAUCCCAAGGCUCAACCUUGGAAUGGCGCUCGAAACUGGGCGACUUGAGUGCAGGAUGGGAGAGCGGAAUUCUUGGUGUAGCGGUGAAAUGCGUUGAUAUCAAGAAGAACACCGGUGGCGAAGGCGGCUCUCUGGAAUGCAACUGACACUGAGGCACGAAAGCUGGGGGAGCAAACAGG
rnacentral:rRNA from 1 species